GGGGCGACGUGUGAGGUGGGCGGGGAAGGGAGCGGCGGCGGUCUGCGCGUGCGCAGCCGAGGCCCGCACCAAGGCUGUGCUGCCCCAUUGUGGGCUGUUUCCUGUCGGCUGUCUGGCUUCUUGCUUUGCACGCCUCGCUUGUUUGAGUCAGCCACGGUGCUUCUUUGUUUCCUCCCGCCUGGUUUAGCCCUUUCGGCCUGCGUCGGACCGCUCGCCUUUCUUCCGCUGGAACCAGCGUUUCGGUUAACCGCCCGCUCCCUGCUGUCUGCGAUGUGGACUGGAGCACUACAGAAAACGCGCCCCCCAGACGCGACGGCCAAGACCACCGGCUGAAGGAUGCUGCCCAGGGUUGAGAGUCGGAGGGGGAAGGUGUUAGCCAACUCUGGAAUGGUGGAUUUGGAUUAAAAGAUGUUCCAAGAGCCUUUUAGACCCACUGGCCCUACUGGCGCAAGCAUGGGCAAGAAGGAUCUGGACAAAUGCAGUCGUUCAGAAUGCAGAAAUAAGUCGAUAAACGCUUACAUUUACAUUAACCAGAAUACCAGGAAUAUUCCGUCUUGAAAGCAGUGUUGAGCCGGGAAUAUAGCCCAGUGGCACAAGCGCUUGAGUGGGCUGGGGACCAACAGAGCCUUAUACAGGAGGCUGAGGCAUUAAGAUUGUGGCAAGUUUGAGAGGCCAAUUUGGGCUAUAUAGGGAGUUCGAGGCCAGCCUGAACUGUAUACCAAGACCCUGUCUCAGAAAAAAAAAAAAAACAGAAAAGCAGGCCUCAUAUAUUAGUCAAGUGCUCUACCAAUAACCAAUCUCCAGCCCUCAUCUCCUAAGUGAAAUGUAGAAUCUGUAUAAACCAUGCAGGGCCCAGGAAGAGAGAAGCCAGUUUGCCCUCCCCGUGAGAUGACUGGCCAGAGGACUGAGAAUUGAGAACUUCCACACUCCUGCCCCGUAAGCACCUGGCUCCUUGAGAGGACAGACUGAGUUAAUAGCAAUCAAGGUACAAAAAAUAACUGACUGCUUGUAUUGUUUGAUUGACUUUGCAGGCCUGGGGCCAGUAGUCUUGAGCAUCUACUAGUAGGAUAAUAGUAUGCAAUAUAGAAAAUAUAGAGAAUUUCCUUCUGUCUUGUUUUUGAAAUCCAAUAUUGAUUUCACUGUUUUGUUUCAAUUUAUUCAGUGUUCUGCUUGAUUAUUUUUAUUCUGUUUGAUUUUACUGUGUCUCAUGGAAUGGACAAGUAUUGUGAAGAUAAUAAGAUAUACUAUGAUAGGACCUGGGAUUUAGCUCAGUGGCAUAAGCACCUACCUGGCAAGUGUGAAGUCAUGAGUUUGAUCCCUAGUACCAAAAAGAAAGAUAUACUAUGGUAACCACUGUUGAUUUCCUAUUAUGCUGUUUUGAAGUUCUAUACCAUGUUCACUGCCUUGUUUUGAUUGGCUUUACUCUGUUUUGUUAAGUUUUAUUCGCUUUAAAAUAAAGGAAAUAAAUGAAA